UUGCUGUGGGGAAAUCAUGUGUACGUGUCCGUCAAUUCCGGCUGCGGUCAGGAUCAGGUGCUCUCCGGAAAUGGCGUCCGUUGCCGCACCGGUUACGAGCUCUGGCGUGACACCUUCCAUAAUGUUGGGAUUUCCGGCUUUCCCGAUACCUGCGAUCUUGCCGUCCUUGAUGCCGACAUCGGCUUUAAUGACUCCCAGUUUGGGGUCUAAGAUCGUUACAUUCGUGAUAACCAGGUCCAAGGUCCCCCCUUCCGAGGUCAACGUGUUGGCUAAUCCCAUGC
rnacentral:sRNA from 1 species